rnacentral:rRNA from 1 species
AAGCCUUCGUGGUUCAGGUGUUUGGAUGGGUAGGGGAGCGUCGUGUGGGCGGUGAAGUCGCGGUGUAAACCAGCGGUGGAGCCUACACGAGUGAGAAUGCAGGCAUGAGUAGCGAAAGACGGGUGAGAAACCCGUCCGCCGAAUGAUCAAGGGUUCCAGGGUCAAGCUAAUCUGCCCUGGGUAAGUCGGGACCUAAGGCGAGGCCGACAGGCGUAGUCGAUGGACAACGGGUUGAUAUUCCCGUACCGGCGAAAAACCGUCCAUGUUGAACAGGGGAUACUAACCGCCCGAGACCUGCCCGCUCACCCUUGUGGUGUUGUGGGUUUUGGUGGAGCGCGGGACCUGAUCCUGGGAGGCAAGCGUAUUAACAGGUGUGACGCAGGAAGGUAGCCGAGCCGGGCGAUGGUUGUCCCGGUCUAAGGAUGUAGGGCGAGUGGUAGGCAAAUCCGCCACUCAUGGUGCCUGAGAUCUGAUGGGACCCCCGUUUGGGGGGAUUUGGUGAUCCUAUGCUGCCGAGAAAAGCAUCGACGCGAGGUUUUAGCCGCCCGUACCCCAAACCGACACAGGUGAUCAGGUAGAGAAUACUAAGGCGAUCGAGAGAAUUAUGGUUAAGGAACUCGGCAAAAUGCCCCCGUAACUUCGGGAGAAGGGGGGCCCCAACCUUGAUACACCUUCGCGGUGUGGAGGGGAUCGGGGCCGCAGAGACCAGGGGGAAGCGACUGUUUACUAAAAACACAGGUCCGUGCGAAGUCGCAAGACGAUGUAUACGGACUGACUCCUGCCCGGUGCUGGAAGGUUAAGAGGACCGGUUAGCCUCACGGCGAAGCUGAGAAUUUAAGCCCCAGUAAACGGCGGUGGUAACUAUAACCAUCCUAAGGUAGCGAAAUUCCUUGUCGGGUAAGUUCCGACCUGCACGAAUGGAGUAACGACUUCCCCGCUGUCUCAACCAUAAACUCGGCGAAAUUGCAGUACGAGUAAAGAUGCUCGUUACGCGCAGCAGGACGGAAAGACCCCGAGACCUUUACUAUAGUUUGGUAUUGGUGUUCGGAGUGGCUUGUGUAGGAUAGGUGGGAGACGUUGAAGCCCGGACGCCAGUUCGGGUGGAGUCAUCGUUGAAAUACCACUCUGGUCACUUUGGACAUCUAACUUCGGCCCGUAAUCCGGGUCAGGGACAGUGCCUGAUGGGUAGUUUAACUGGGGCGGUUGCCUCCUAAAAAGUAACGGAGGCGCCCAAAGGUUCCCUCAGCCUGGUUGGCAAUCAGGUGUCGAGUGUAAGUGCACAAGGGAGCUUGACUGUGAGAGAGACAUCUCGAGCAGGGACGAAAGUCGGGACUAGUGAUCCGGCGGUACAUUGUGGAAUGGCCGUCGCUCAACGGAUAAAAGGUACCUCGGGGAUAACAGGCUGAUCUUGCCCAAGAGUCCAUAUCGACGGCAUGGUUUGGCACCUCGAUGUCGGCUCGUCGCAUCCUGGGGCUGGAGUAGGUCCCAAGGGUUGGGCUGUUCGCCCAUUAAAGCGGUACGCGAGCUGGGUUUAGAACGUCGUGAGACAGUUCGGUCCCUAUCCGCUGCGCGCGCAGGAAAUUUGAGAAGGGCUGUCCUUAGUACGAGAGGACCGGGACGGACGAACCUCUGGUGUGUCAGUUGUACUGCCAAGUGCACCGCUGAUUAGCUACGUUCGGAUGGGAUAACCGCUGAAAGCAUCUAAGCGGGAAGCUCGCUUCAAGAUGAGAUUUCCAUACACUUUAUGUGUGAGAGGCCCCCAGCCAGACCACUGGGUUGAUAGGCCGGAUGUGGAAGCGAGGACUAACGACUCGUGAAGCUGACCGGUACUAAUAGGCCAACAACUUACACCACACAGAUACAUACAAAUUCUGCUUGCGUCCACUAUGUGGUUCCCAACCAACAACCCCCAACACCCGGGGUUUGAUACGGCACGGAACCAACAACUGAAUAACAACACCACACAUGUUGUAACCACA